rnacentral:misc_RNA from 1 species
CCGAGUGAGGGCCCUCCGGCCCGACCUCCAACCCUUUGUGAACGCAAACUCGUUGCUUCGGGGGCGACCCUGCCGUCCGCGGCCAGCGGCGCCCCCGGAGGACACCCAACCCUGCAUCACUGCGUCGGAGUUUAAUGAAAAUUGAACA